AACGCUGGCGGCGCGCUUAACACAUGCAAGUCGAGCGAGAACCAGGACUUCGGUCCUGGGGACAGCGGCGAACGGGUGAGUAACACGUGGGUAAUCUGCCCUCGAUUCUGGGAUAGCCCGGGGAAACCCGGAUUAAUACCGGAUAGCCUCUCGAGCUCCCGGGCUCGUGAGAAAAGGUAGCUUCGGCCUCCGAUCGAGGAUGAGCCCGCGGCGGAUUAGCUUGUUGGUGGGGUAAUGGCCCACCAAGGCGACGAUCUGUAGCUGGUCUGAGAGGACGAUCAGCCACACUGGGACUGAGACACGGCCCAGACUCCUACGGGAGGCAGCAGUGGGGAAUCUUGCGCAAUGGGCGAAAGCCUGACGCAGCGACGCCGCGUGGGGGAAGAAGGCCUUCGGGUUGUAAACCUCUUUCAGGAGGGACGAAGCCACUCGGGUUAAUAGCCCAGAGGGUGACGGUACUUCCAGAAGAAGCCCCGGCUAACUACGUGCCAGCCGCCGCCGUAAGAC
rnacentral:rRNA from 1 species